GAAGGUGAAAACUUGGCCAUUACUACCUGCAGCCUGAAACCAGCUGCAUUUGAACAAGGGCUGAAAAUACAGUUCUGAGCGGGUAGAUUGGAAGAAAGCAGGGAUCCUGACGACAAACAAACCAAAGUUUUCACCCCAUCUCUGCCACUUACUUAGAAGCUUGGUGACUUUGGGAUGUUUGGAUCCAGAUUUUGCAUGAACAUAUGAUAUCAGCAGAAGGCAACCAGAUUAAUGAUGGAGAUGCAGAGUUCAAACCCGUGUACUGGGAUGGCCUCCUGGAAUCUUCCCCCAGAUCAGUCAGUCAAGUAUCAAAACAGUCAUCAGAAAGUGGGGGCACUAAGCCCAGUGAGGCAGCUCCCCAGAGCCAGGUGGAAGAGGAAGACUGCAGAGUGGACCACACCACACUGGGGCAAAAACAUAGAAGAGGCAGCAAGACUGCAAUUGAGGCAAGAACACUGGGCUCGACGUUCCUAAAAAAUAUAUCAUUGCUGUUGUUGGUGCAGUCAGGUAACUCAGGUUUGACUCUCAGCUUCAGAGUUUCUAUAAUGUUUAGCAGCAGAAAAUUGUUCUGGCAAGUGACUUAAUCCUUCCAUGCCUCAAUUUCCUCAGUUGAUAAGUAAUGAAUAAUAAUCUCAGAGUUGUUAUGAAGGAUAAAUGAGAUAAUACAUAAUAAAGAGCUAAGAACAGUGCCUGCCACAUAUUAUUCCUUCAAUAAAGGUUAGCUGAUGAUGAUUGCAAUUAUAAUGAUGAGGACAUAUUUAAUCCACAAAAAUAGAUGCAUAUUUAAAAAAUAGAUGCAUAAUUUAAAAUAGAUUUUUGGAUGCUAAAGAGUAGCAAAAAAUGGUACAUAAAUACUAAAACUAGGACUAAUACAAUACAAAUAGUUAUCAGUCUCCAGUAUAAAAAUUGACUGAGAAUAUUUAUUUGCUGGGACAAGGGAAUAUGUAAUCACCAUGAUUUUACCUAAGCAGUUCCCCUAACAAAAAUGUAUAGCGAUGAAUUUUAUAAAAUUAGACUUUGUUGUACAAAUGAUCAAUGGAAAAUGCAUUUAAACCUUGUCAAGGCCGGGCGUGAUGGCUCAUGUCUGUAAUCUCAGCACUUUGGGAGGCUGAGGUGGGCGGAUCACGAGGUCAGGAGAUGGAGACCAUCCCGGCCAGCAUCGUGAAACCCCGUCUCUACUAAAAAAAAUACAAAAAUUAGCCGGGCACGGUGGCGGAUGCCUGUAAUCCCAGCUACUCAGGAGGCUAAGGCAGGAGAAUCGCUUGAACUCAAGAGGCAGAGGUUGCAGUGAGCCGAGAUCGCGCCACUGCACUCCAGCCUGGCGACAGAGUGAGACUCCGUCUCAAAAAAAAAAAAAAAGAAAAGAAAAGAAAAGAAAAGAAAACGUUGUCAAAUAAUAGCAUGAAACAUAACAGUUUUCUCCUCCCAUCUUCCUCCCUUCCCCAAAACCCAGUGGUCUCUCUGGUAAACAAAUUGAAAUUUUCCAGACCAACUUCAAAAUAAUGCCCUUGUUAUUUUGGUACAAAACCAUUGAAAUUUACAGCAAAAAUUAGAUCAGAAGACCAAAUUACAAAGCCAUCCAUCCUUGUGGCAAAAUCAGGCACAUAUUACAGCAUAGCCAGUAAUUCUGUAAAACUGGCCACAGUAUAAGUGAUAAAUACAUUCAGUGGUUCUCUUAAGAAACUGGCUCUGGGAGAAUCCAGCUGCCUUGUCUGAACACCUCAAGAUUGUCAUGCUAGAGACACCACAUGGGGUGCUCUGGUUGGCAAUUGCAGUGGUGCCCAGCCAUCCAGCUACCCGUACCAAGGCACUAGGUAUGUGCAUGAAGCUAUUGCUGACUCCAGAUGAGCCCCAUCCACCAUCUAAGUCCCACUGAAUGACCUUCAUCAAUGCAAUGCGGACUAGAAGAAUUGCCUGGCUGAGAGCUGCAUGAAUUCCUGACCCCUAAAAUCCAUGCAAUAUAAUUAAGUGGUUUUUGUUUUAAGCCAUUAAGUUUUGGGAUAGUUUGUUACCCAGCAAUGGUAACUGAAACACUUCCAAGCAGGCUUUAUGUAGGUUCUGAUACCAACUCACCUUGUCUAGUAAACAUGACUCCAUAAUUUUUCCAUUUGAGUUUAAUGGCAAUAUCCAUGACUAUCUGAUAGUCACGUGUUUCAAUUUUCAAUGAUUGAUUAUUAUUAGUUAAGAAAUUAUAGUUUAGAAAGACAAAGAGUAAAAUAUUUUACAAAUUAAGAAAUAAAACCACCUGGACAUGAAACUUGACCUAUGGUGUAAACCUAUAUUGGACCCCAGUUUUAGGAACUUGGUUGAGG
rnacentral:lncRNA from 1 species